UACGUAAGUGGCAAGCGUUGUCCGGAUUUACUGGGCGUAAAGGAUGCGUAGGCGGCCAACUCAGUCGGACGUGAAAUCCCUCGGCUUAACCGGGGAAUGGCGUCCGAUACUGGAUGGCUUGAGUUUGGGAGAGGGAUGCGGAAUUCCAGGUGUAGCGGUGAAAUGCGUAGAUAUCGGGGAGGAACACCUGUGGCGAAAGCGGCGCACUGGACCAUAACUGACGCUGAGGCGCGAAAGCUAGGGGAGCAAACAGG
rnacentral:rRNA from 1 species